rnacentral:rRNA from 1 species
CCUUUGACGUUAGCGGCGGACGGGUGAGUAACACGUGGGUAACCUACCUAUAAGACUGGGAUAACUUCGGGAAACCGGAGCUAAUACCGGAUAAUAUUUCGAACCGCAUGGUUCGAUAGUGAAAGAUGGUUUUGCUAUCACUUAUAGAUGGACCCGCGCCGUAUUAGCUAGUUGGUAAGGUAACGGUUUACCAAGGCGACGAUACGUAGCCGACCUGAGAGGGUGAUCGGCCACACUGGAACUGAGACACGGUCCAGACUCCUACGGGAGGCAGCAGCA